rnacentral:lncRNA from 1 species
GGGACCAUAUGUGUGAUGAACAGUGACCAUGGCUAUAUUGGCCUUUUUACAUCGGCCUUGUCUCCGUGAAUGUGUUGUCUUACCUUAUCUUUUAAAAACUAAUGCUGGUAGUCACUGGGGCACAAGAGUAUCAAAUCAUGGAUAUUUUUAUAACCAAGAAGUCCAAUUUGGGAAAUAAUUUUUUAAAAUUAAACCACUUUGUCCUUAGAAAAGAUUAACGGUCUUAAAUCUCUCCAGGGUCAUCAAAGCAUGCACUUAAACGAGAGGGUAACAGGCUCCCUAUCCUAGAUGUUCAUAGGUUGAGCAGGAGAGAAAGACUCAUCUAUUAAGAUUUUCUAAGAUCAGAUUGUAUAGGAAGGUCUUGAGGUGUUCUGAAGUAACAGGCAAGAGUUGUCAGCAUUUCUGAAGGAAUGUUGAAGGUUAAGAUGAUUAGUGUUUAAAAUAUAGAGACAGGGAAGGAGGCAGAGGGCCACAGAUGGUGCUGAGUGGGGUCAGGACCCUGGACAGCUCUGUGAAUCUUGAUCUACUGCUGCACUUGUCCUCUUGUCAGCUUUUGGAUAUGGAGCCAACUCACUCAUAGGCUUUGAUUCUGACUGAGCUGUGGAAUUUUAAUGUCAUGGUCAUGAUGUUUUAGGCUCUGGCCUUAUUGAGGGGCAGGAGGAUAGAAAAUCAACUUCAUCUACCUUUCAUAUCCACUGUGGGUUUCUGGCCUGACUGAGGUUUUGGCAACUUGGAGGCAAUUUGUGUUAAUUAUGGGGUGGAGUGCAGGUGGGGUUGUAAGCUAUCCUCAUACUCUACCAUAUUUUCCCACCAUGCAUUUUCUCUCCUCACAGGUAGAGAAUGAUAUGAGCAGAGCCCAAGACUACAAAAGAAAAGACGUUCCCAACUCAGUUUGUGGAGACUCUGAAGCUUCACUCAGAAGAAUCCUGCUCAUCGAUUCAUCCCUCCUUCAGAAUCUUUUACCCGGGACGCUUACAUCCGGCUAA